AGAGCGAACGCUGGCGGCAGGCCUAACACAUGCAAGUCGAGCGCCCGUAGCAAUACGGGAGCGGCAGACGGGAUAGUAACACGUGGAAACGCGCCCUUCGGUUCGGAAUAACUCAGGGAAACUUGAGCUAAUACCGAAUACGCCCUUACGGGGAAAGAUUUAUUGCCGAAGGAACGGCCCGCGUCCGAUUAGCUAGUUGGUGAGGUAAUGGCUCACCAAGGCUACGAUCGGUAGCUGGUCUGAGAGGAUGACCAGCAUCACUGGGACUGAGACACGGCCCAGACUCCUACGGGAGGCAGCAGUGGGGAAUAUGGACAAUGGGCGCAAGCCUGAUCCAGCCAUGCCGCGUGGAUGAUGAAGGCCUUAGGGUUGUAAAGUCCUUUUAACGGGAGAUAAUGACGGUACCCGUAGAAUAAGCCCCGGCUAACUUCGUGCCAGCAGCCGC
rnacentral:rRNA from 1 species